GGCGGGGGACCGCAAGGCCUCGCGCGAUUGGAUGAGCCGACGUCGGAUUAGCUAGUUGGUGGGGUAAAGGCCCACCAAGACGACGAUCCGUAGCUGGUCUGAGAGGAUGAUCAGCCACACUGGAACUGAGACACGGUCCAGACUCCUACGGGAGGCAGCAGUGGGGAAUAUUGGACAAUGGGCGCAAGCCUGAUCCAGCAAUGCCGCGUGUGUGAAGAAGGCCUUCGGGUUGUAAAGCACUUUUAUCAGGAACGAAAAGCGUUGGAUUAAUACUCUGACGUGCUGACGGUACCUGAGGAAUAAGCACCGGCUAACUUCGUG
rnacentral:rRNA from 1 species